AAUGGGCGAAAGCCUGACGCAGCAACGCCGCGUGUGUGAAGAAGGCCCUCGGGUCGUAAAGCACUGUCUUAGGGAACGAGCCUCUGGCGUUAAUAUCGCCAGAGCCGACGGUACCCUAAAAGAAAGCACCGGCUAACUCCGUGCCAGCAGCCGCGGUAAUACGGAGGGUGCAAGCGUUGUUCGGAAUUAUUGGGCGUAAAGCGCGCGUAGGCGGAUCAUUAAGUCUGAUGUGAAAUCCCUGGGCUCAACCCAGGACGUGCAUUGGAUACUGGUGAUCUUGAAUCCUGGAGAGGGUGGCGGAAUUCCCAGUGUAGAGGUGAAAUUCGUAGAUAUUGGGAGGAACACCAGUGGCGAAGGCGGCCACCUGGACAGUGAUUGACGCUGAGGUGCGAAAGCAUGGGUAGCAAACAGGAUU
rnacentral:rRNA from 1 species